GAUGAACGCUGACAGAAUGCUUAACACAUGCAAGUCUUUGGCGAAGCUGUGCUUGCACAGCCUAGCCAAGGCGGACGGGUGAGUAACGCGUAAGGAACUUGCCCUGCAGUCAGGGAUAACAGACGGAAACGACUGAUAAGACCUGGUAAAGUCAGGCGGACUCAUGUCCAGCCUGAUGAAAAGAGAUGCUGCAGGAGAGCCUUGCGUCCUAUUAGCUUGUUGGUGGGGUAACGGCCCACCAAGGCGAUGAUAGGUAGCCGGCCUGAGAGGGUGGACGGCCACAAGGGGACUGAGAUACGGCCCUUACUCCUACGGGAGGCAGCAGGGGGGAAUAGUGGACAAUGGGGGCAACCCUGAUCCAGCAAUUCUGUGUGCACGAUGAAGGUUUUCGGAGUGUAAAGUGCUUUCAGCAGGGAAGAAAAAAAUGACGGUACCUGCAGAAGAAGCGACGGCUAAAUACGUG
rnacentral:rRNA from 1 species